rnacentral:sRNA from 1 species
GGGUUGGGAAGUGUCAACUUAAAGCUUUAGGCUUAAUGCUACAUGAAAAGACUCGGUGCUUUUUAUUUCAUUUUCCAUGUAUUAGGCACCACUAAAAAGAAUGUAACACAUGUAGCAGCUUAUUUCAUUUUCAAAGGAGGAAUUGAAGAGCUUUUGAGUAAAAAACGUGAAAAGAAGCUCAUGUUCAUUGCCUACGUGGCUUUUAAAAAAGACUCUUGAAAAACAUUCCAUUGUGAAUUCCAGGUCCUCUUUAAACUUACCACCAGCAGUAACUGCCUGCAGAGCCAUGUGAUCAUCUUGGCAACAGCCAGGCCUUUUAGUGAUUUCAUUACUGUGGUUUCCUCAAGCUCUUUACACACAUUGAUUAAUAUUUUCCUUGCAGUUAUCGCUGUGAUGAUUUUGUGGUUAAUGACACCAAGCUGGGACUGGUACAGAAAGUCAGAGAACACUUACAGAACUUGGAAAACUCAGCGUUCACAGCUGACAGGCAUAGGAAAAGAA